GUGUAGCUCAGUAGUAGAGCACGUGCUUAGCAUGCAUGAGGCUCUAGGUUCAAGCCCCAGCAC
rnacentral:tRNA from 1 species